rnacentral:rRNA from 1 species
GAUUAGCUAGUUGGUGGGGUAAAGGCUUACCAAGGCAACGAUCAGUAGCUGGUCUGAGAGGACGACCAGCCACACUGGGACUGAGACACGGCCCAGACUCCUACGGGAGGCAGCAGUGGGGAAUUUUGGACAAUGGGCGAAAGCCUGAUCCAGCCAUGCCGCGUGAGUGAAGAAGGCCUUCGGGUUGUAAAGCUGUUUUAGUCGGAAAGAAAGAGUCAUAGUAAAUNGCUAUGAUUUUGACGGUACCGACAGAAAAAGCAC